rfam:Heterocephalus glaber contig14188, whole genome shotgun sequence.
GGAGAUGUAGCUCAGUGGUAGAGCACCUGCCUAGCAUGCAGGACCCCGAGUUCCAGCUCAUUGAGGUUGUGUUUCCC